AAAAAAAGAAUACUAAAUCCUUAAAAAUUAAAACCUAUCUACUUUGCGAACUUCUUUCUUCUCUGCUGCAAAUCUAAAAUCUCUUCGCAAGUUUGAAAUCUCUCCCUCACAUCUCAUUACCUCUUCUACAAAUCAGAGAUCGGGACUUCACUUGGGGCUGUUCAUGCUAAGUAUUUACUAAAGCAAAUGGAAUAUUAUUUGCCAUGAUAGUGAAGGAAAAUGGAAAUACAGAGAAGAGAAAAUGGAGAAAAGAAAACAGAGAUGGAAGGUGGAGCAAUAAAAGAGAAAGAGUACAACGAUGACUUAGGAAGAACUAUAAUGAGAUAUUGAGGAUGAUGAUGUCAAUGCAAUGCAAUGGAAUUUAAAGAGAAGAUGAUUAUGAUAAUAUUGACAACGAAAACUCAGUGCUACGUCCAUAAUUAUCUUGAAAAAUGUUUAUUUUAUUCAUGUUUACAUGUUUAAUUUAUUUGGAUGCUUAAGUUUAACUAUGAUUUAUAUUUAAUUAACUUAUGUGUAAAUGUGAAAUCUCAAUGAUCACGUCCUUUAAUUUAAAAUUCUUUUUCUCAAGUUUGAUAUC